rnacentral:lncRNA from 1 species
GGACCACCACAGUUCAGAUCUAUUACAUUAGUCUGCUUUGUGAUUUUAGCAACACUGAAAGAAAACAGUAAACGAUGCUGCAGUGUGAGCUUAACCUAGAGAACUCUCCUACUUCAACACAGUGACAGCAGUUCUGAUUGAUUCUCUGAUUAAUAAGACUAUCUAUGGUAUUUUUCAUGCAACCAACAAGGAACAUGGCAGCAUACUUCAUUUACAUCUAGUCUCAUGAAUGCUGGUUGGUUAGACUCCUCUGCAGAAAACGUGAGACGUUUUUAGACUGAAGACUUGGCCAUUCCACAAAUAGUGACCCCAUUUUCUACAUCCUGAUAAAAUUCACAAUGUGAGGAACCGCUCCUCUGUGCAAUCCUUUUUAGAGGCAUUACAAUGGAAAGUGGUAAGGGAGCUGGUGUGCAGAAGAGGACUUUUUCAGGCGGCCGUACCGGGCCCUUAGCCGUGGCGUGGAAGGGCGAUACGGUGUCCGCGCAGCCGGCGCUGCCUCCGCCCGUUACCGCGGCGCGCGGGAGGGGCGCGGCCGGCCCGCGGCGGGACCGGCCGGUGCGCGCAGCCCCGGCGGCCGUGGAGCCGUUCCUACCCCUGUCAGUCGGUAGAGGGAACCAUCUGAGUGUCGCUACAAUCUGGGGUAGGACAGCAUGAGAUACUGGGGUUUUAGAACAAAAUGGCAUGAAGUCCCACUGGUCCCACAAUAACGUCGUGGAGAACCACCACUAGGAGUUUCCUCGGCUUUCAAGGUGACUGAGCACUUUUUCAGAAACGUGACAUUCUCUCUGCUCUGCUUCUUUUUGACUAAUGUUGCUUCUUUAUCAUUCUGUGAUCUUUUGGAACAUUUUCGGGUUUCACUCUGAGAAACUCUGAUCUAAACUAUAGCAGAGCUAUACAGAGGGGACACAAUUGUACCGUUUGAUGUCAAGCUCUUGAUCUCCUUCAUCUCCUCUGUCUGGCUCCCAGUAUCUUUUCUCCCAGGAGAGAAUAUUGUUGACAUAAAGAUGGAGGAUAUUUUAUGAUAGACAUUUUAGAUAACUGGACACUUAACACACCUCUCAGUUGUUUUCACAAUCUCUAUGCAUUUCUACAACAAAUCAAUUCAGAAUUACUGUCCACAGCUCUGAGAAUCAACCAAAAAAUAAUGUACAGUGAACACCUGGUAUUUUUUCCUGAUAAAUCUUAACAGGAAGUGGGUGAAAUGAAGGAGCACUGGCUUGUGUAUGUUGUGCCUCCAUCACCCGGUGCCAUAGCACCAAGCUGCUAGCAGAGGCUUGUUUGCCUACUGUGCAGUUCGAGCUACCUCCUGAAAUAUUUAGUUGCACAUUUAAAAAGAAACUGCUGCUGCUGAGGAGAUUGAGGCUGAAAGACCCUUCCUAGGGAAGAAGGACUGAGGACAUGGCAUUUUGGCAGGCUUUGAACUUCAGAGCAGUUCAGUCGAGGAGCAAGAUCAGUCGAGAUGUGUGUGAGGCCAAAGGAAGUUAAGGUGGCUGUGCUGAAGGGAGUGUGGGCAGACCUGUGUAUUGAUGACCAGUUGUGUGCAUUUGGGCUCAGGAGCUCUCUAAGGAACACUGGAUGAGCACACUGCAAGAAUAGGAGAAUUUAUAAUCAAACAACUUUGUGCAAAUUCAGGGCACUGGUUUCACCCUCCACU